rnacentral:rRNA from 1 species
AUUGAACGCUGGCGGCAUGCCUUACACAUGCAAGUCGAACGGCAGCAUGAUCUCUCUUGCUGGAUUGAUGGCUAGUGGCUGACGGUUGAGUAUUACAUCCGAACGUGCCCUGUGGUGGUGGGUAUCUUGUCGAAUGCUUACCUAAUACCGCAUACUACCUGGGGGUGAAUGUGGGGGACCUCAAGGCCUCAUGCUAUAGGAUCGUCCGAUGUCUGAUUAGCUAGUUGGUGAUGUUAAGGCUUACCAAGGCGACGAUCAGUAGCUGGUAUGAGAGGACGAUCAGCUAGACGGGGAGUGAGAAAGGGCAGAGACACCGAGGGGAGGCAGCAGUGGGGAAUCUUGGAGGAGGGGGGAAAGGGUGAUCCAGGAAAGCGGCGUGAGUGAAGAAGGAGUUAGGGUGGGAAAGCACUGAUGUCCGGAAAGAAAUGGAGCUGGUUAAGACCGGAGGUUGAUGACGGUACCGGAAGAAGAAGGACCGGCUAACUACGUG